GAGUCAUGUGGGGACCAUUGGUUGAAUUGCCAUGGAAUGACCCAUUUCUACAAAUAUUUAAUGACAAAAUAAGUGUAAAAUUUUAAAUGUGUCCAAUACCCUUUUUUCCACUACUGCAACAGAGUUGAAUUUGGUCUGUUUCUGUGCAUCUGAUGCUUGAUCUGUUGUAAAGUGCUUCAUCUGUGACCCAGCGUGAACAUAAACCGGCCUCUGUGGUCUUUUCUGCGCUAAUCCAACCUGAAUGUCCUGUUGGUUUCCUGGUAGCAGUGACCCUGUGGACUGUCCACCGGUGCCAACAGGUCCCACACCGGGCUGGAACACCAGGACCGGACCCUCUUCAACCUGGUCUGGACUCCCUGUAGACCUCGACCACUAGGGGGCCACGGGUGUACAGCUUUUUUGAACCACAUGACGAUUCUAAAAAGUCACUGUGGAAUGGACUCCAGUGGAUCCCAAAGCUCAGACUGACUGCGCUCGUCCGAGUGCACGUGAAAACUUUUCGUUGCAGGAAACGAUGAGCUGCUCCAUUUUCUCUAAUAGCCAGUAUGUUUGCAGACUGUGAAGAGUAACACCUUACUUUAAGGCGCCUUAUAAUCUGUGGUUUUCACAAGCAGCACAUGAACAUGACUGUGAGCUGUACCCUGGUUUGUGACACACUGUGAUGCAGCAGCACAAAGCCCAUCAGUAAACCAACAGCACAUUUAAGGCAGAACCACUGUUACAUAAAAGGCAGAAAUCUGGAAAUAGUUGUUGGUUUCAGGCUCAAAAGUUCACAUUUUCUUGUAAUAAUGUGUCUGUAAUUGACAAGGAGAGAGAAAAAGUCAAGGAAAAAGCCCAUUUUUGUGGAUCUGAUUUAAAAGUUAACAGGCUUUUCCUUCCCUUCAACCAAAUUUCAUGAAAAUUGUUGCUUUAGUUUGAAAAUAAAUUAACAUUUAAGCCAUAAUUUGGAAACCUCAGUACUGACUGCUGUUGAUUACACUGAUGAACCUGAACAAAAGUUUAAGACUGCUACAGAAUUCAUACACAAUAAGGUAAAGUAUGGGAUUGUUUGAUCAUAUAAUCAGCGUUUUUUGGGUUUUGGCUGUGAUGGAGUAUUAUGGCCACAUUAAGGAGCAGAAACAAGAAGCAGAACGUUUUUUUCCAGAAGAUAAAGUCAGCCUUUUGGCUUUUUAAAAUUUGAUUUGUCUUUUUUGUUUCGAUUUGUCUUAUUCUUAGUACUCAUAUUCUUAUUAAUGGAGAUAAUGAUAAAAAAAAAAAAAAAGUAAAAUCAGGAGCUGUAUGUAAGUAACUGACCUUAAGAAAGACAAAAAGUGAGUUCCACAAAGACAGUUGGACUUCGUCAGUAUUUAAACUUUUUGGUCCAGCAGCUGAAGGGUCUGAUGGACCACUGGGAUCAGUGGUCGUCCAUCUGUCUGUAAAACAAUUUUUCAAGAAUCUUCUUCUCUAAAAGCCACAAUCAAUUGAAAUUCAUAGCAGACGAUCCUUGGGGUCAGGUUAACCAAGUUCAAAGAACUGACAAAUACUGACUUUUGAAUUUUUCAUGAAUUUUUGUAAUUUUCCAAAUCCUCAUUGGUUUAUAAUGGGACACAUUUUAAAGUGCUGUAACUUCAAAACAGUUGAAGGUAUUGAUAUAAUUACUAUUGGUAAUAGAGAGGAAGUCGCAUACGGGCUGUCGUUUGAUGCCAUGGCCUUUGACCUUGUGAAUGUCUUUAUGCUGCUGGUCUGCAGGACCCUUUGUCCUACUUUUAUUUCAGUAAUGUGGCCUUAAGACUCAGUUUACCCUCUCAGACCUAAAUAGACACCAAAACAUCCACUGAUCUAAACUGUUUAAUACCUGUUGAGCCACUAAUUUUAUCAAUACAUGUAAAUAAUUGGUGUGAAAUGCACUGUCAUCUUUUCAUUGUCAUCAGAUAUGACCCAUUUGGACCUUCAAAGGCUCCGUAGUGAACAUGGAAAAAGUCACUUUUUUGUCAGUUUUCUUGGUUUUGAUAUAAUAACCUUUGAAUGUAUGAAUAUUUGCAUGGUCAGAAAGUUAAAUAUAAGGAAAAUCAUUUUGGAUGAAUAUGUGGAAAAUGCAGGGGAUAAUAUUAUAAUAAAUGGUGAUAAAUCACUUCCAAAAGCUUAAAUAUGGAGACAAUUCAUUUUUAUUUCUUCAGUUGUUCUCAUAAUUAUGAAGAUCUAAUGAUUAAUGAAGAUCUACAUGGUCAGUAAAGUAAAAUGCAUGCUUUUCACUAAAUAAUUCAAAAUGCAGAGGAUAAUAUUAUAAUAUAUCGUGAUAGAAGGUUAAAUGUAGACAAAAAUGUAUUUGUACUUUACUUUAAAAUCUGCUCUAGGUCUUUAAAGGUCAAUACUUAAAAACACUGAUUGUAUGAUCAAUUAAUCAUUAGAAAUUUCUAUUUUAAAGCCAGCAUUUAUUCUGCAACAUCAUUUGAAUUUAACAGUCGUAAAAUUUGAAGCUAUUUGUCCUAUUAAGCCCAAAAAGUCUAUGUUUGGAUGUAAAAUGUGCAGGAAAGUUGUGUUUUUUUAAGCACAAGCACCAAAAAUGUCUUAUAGAUGCACUUUUUGCUGAAACCCCUUUGUAAUCAUGAAUAUUUUGGUCAUUAAGUAUAAUUUAAUUGCACGCACUUAGUAAUUUAUCACCUUAUUAGAUUAAAACUGUCAACAUAUAAGAAUCAACUCUGAGCACAGCUGAAAUAAUAUAUAAGAAUGUGCUUCUGACUCCAUUACAGCGUGUUAUAAACCUGUAGAAUGUGUUUAAAUGCUGCUUAUAAAUGCGAAAUAGGGGACUAACCCCGGAUACUUGUCUGUUUUUGUUUUCAUUUCCUUCUGUUUAUGUCCUGACAUUAAGAAUCCACAUGAUGAACCAGGGGGUUGUGGAGGUUGGGACCCCUCCUGACUCUGCAGAACGCUGCUGUUGUCUUCGUACUGUGUUUGAGCCCCUCACAGAUCAGCUGUAAUACCCAGUCUGACCACACGGCGGUGCUACAGAUUCACCUACUCUCCCUGCACUGUGGACUCCUCCUCCUGCUCCUCUGUUUUUAGUCCCAGAAUCCCCCAGGGUUCACAGGUCAUCCCUACGUCUGAUUUCCCAUUAUUCCUUUUGAUUUCUGUGAACAGUUUGGACACUGUUUAGCGAUUGUUUUUUUUGUUUUUUUUCUGUGAAUCUUAAGAGGAAAUGUACAAUAGAUCUGGCCUUAAUAGAAGUGACGAUGACAUUCA